AGAGUUUGAUCAUGGCUCAGAACGAACGCUGGCGGCAUGCCUAACACAUGCAAGUCGAACGAGACCUUCGGGUCUAGUGGCGCACGGGUGCGUAACGCGUGGGAACCUGCCUUUAGGUUCGGAAUAACUCCCCGAAAGGGGUGCUAAUACCGGAUAAUGUCUUCGGACCAAAGAUUUAUCGCCUUUAGAUGGGCCCGCGUUGGAUUAGCUAGUUGGUGGGGUAAAGGCUCACCAAGGCGACGAUCCAUAGCUGGUCUGAGAGGAUGAUCAGCCACACUGGGACUGAGACACGGCCCAGACUCCUACGGGAGGCAGCAGUGGGGAAUAUUGGACAAUGGGCGAAAGCCUGAUCCAGCAAUGCCGCGUGAGUGAUGAAGGCCUUAGGGUUGUAAAGCUCUUUUACCCGGGAUGAUAAUGACAGUACCGGGAGAAUAAGCUCCGGCUAACUCCGUGCCAGCAGCCGCAGUAAUACGGAGGGAGCUAGCGUUGUUCGGAAUUACUGGGCGUAAAGCGCGCGUAGGCGGCUUAUCAAGUCAGGGGUGAAAUCCC
rnacentral:rRNA from 1 species